rnacentral:rRNA from 1 species
UGCAGUCGACGAGAAUCACUGGAAGGAGUUUUCGGACAACGGAAGGUGAGGACAGUGGCGGACGGGUGAGUAACGCGUGAGGAACCUGCCUUUCAGAGGGGGACAACAGUUGGAAACGACUGCUAAUACCGCAUGACACAUAGAGAUCGCAUGGUUUUUAUGUCAAAGAUUUAUCGCUGAAAGAUGGCCUCGCGUCUGAUUAGCUAGUUGGUGAGGUAACGGCCCACCAAGGCGACGAUCAGUAGCCGGACUGAGAGGUUGACUGGCCACAUUGGGACUGAGAUACGGCCCAGACUCCUACGGGAGGCAGCAGUGGGGAAUAUUGGGCAAUGGGCGCAAGCCUGACCCAGCAACGCCGCGUGAAGGAAGAAGGCUUUCGGGUUGUAAACUUCUUUUGUCGGGGACGAGUAGAAGACGGUACCUGGCGAAUAAGCCACGGCUAACUACGUGCCAGCAGCCGCGGUAAUACGUAGGUGGCAAGCGUUGUCCGGAUUUACUGGGUGUAAAGGGCGUGUAGCCGGGAAGGCAAGUCAGAUGUGAAAUCCACGGGCUUAACUCGUGAACUGCAUUUGAAACUACUUUUCUUGAGUAUCGGAGAGGCAAUCGGAAUUCCUAGUGUAGCGGUGAAAUGCGUAGAUAUUAGGAGGAACACCAGUGGCGAAG